rnacentral:rRNA from 1 species
AUUGAACGCUGGCGGCAUGCUUUACACAUGCAAGUCGAACGGUAACAGGUUAAGCUGACGAGUGGCGAACGGGUGAGUAAUGCAUCGGAACGUGCCCGGUCGUGGGGGAUAACGCAGCGAAAGCUGCGCUAAUACCGCAUACGAUCUGCGGAUGCAAGCGGGGGACCGUAAGGCCUCGCGCGAUCGGAGCGGCCGAUGUCAGAUUAGGUAGUUGGUGGGGUAAAGGCUCACCAAGCCGACGAUCUGUAGCUGGUCUGAGAGGACGACCAGCCACACUGGGUCUGGGACACGGCCCAGACUCCUACGGGAGGCAGCAGUGGGGAAUUUUGGACAAUGGGCGCAAGCCUGAUCCAGCAAUGCCGCGUGCAGGAAGAAGGCCUUCGGGUUGUAAACUGCUUUUGUACGGAGCGAAAAGGCUCUCUCUAAUACGGGGGGCUCAUGACGGUACCGUAAGAAUAAGCACCGGCUAACCACGUGCCAGCAGCCGCAGUAA